CCCCUGAAGAACACCAUAAUGAGCAGC
rnacentral:sRNA from 1 species